GGCCAAUUUCCUGCCUGGGCUUUGGCUUGUGUCACUUCCUAGUUCCUCAGGGCUCCUUUGCUCCUGAGUCCACCCUCUCCAUCCUCUCUCUUUUACCGGCUCUCUCUACUUGCUGCUUGCCAGCAAUGUUUAUACAUAUUCAAAGGCUCCCCAAUUUAAAGUCUCUGCCUUUGACCCCAUGUGCGGCUCCCACCGCCACCAUUCCCUUCACAGCCAAAUUUCAUGAAAGAGUUGUCUCUGUUUACCAUCUUUAUUGCUACACCUUCCCUACGUCUCAGCCUCCUGCCAUUUUGCUUUCUUCCUACAAUCUGCUGAAACUAUUCUUGACAAAGAGAACACCAAUGUCUUCCAUCUUCUUUAAUCCAGUGCUCCUUAUUUGCUUUGGCCUCUCGGCAGCAUUUGCCACUGUUGACCAGUCCCUGCUCCUUGUUUCCUUGCUGAUUUCCUCUUGACAGUAUUUGUAAUUAGUUCUGGGUGGCUCACCGGAUUUCAUCCAAAGUGGUCACUGGAAAUGAUUGAAGCAGCAGUCCCUGAGGGGGACCUGACAGUGGCCACACGGCCUCUUCCUAUGAGAUUUUACAGAACAACCACUGAAGACACCAAAACCGUUAUCAGGGCAUUCUUCUCCUCCCCGCUCCUAACUCCCAUCUCAGAAGGCCUGGACCAGUGAUGGGGGCACAGCACAGGGCCUGGAAUGCACACGCUUCUGAGUUCUCCAUCCGCUUCUCCUCAGUCUGGGGACCCUGAUCUCCCUGGAGGUGGGGUGGACUCUUCCAGCCCUGAGAGUUGUCUGCACGUGGUCCUUUCUAUUUCCCACAGGGUCCUGGCUCCAAGUCAGGAGGACUCCUUCUUUCAGCGUGGUCCACCCUUCCCUGGGUUAACAAACAUUUGGUUCAUUGAAUGGGGGGAAAGGCAAUGGAGAAAAGAAAAUCCUGGGGACAAAAGCCACCAGUCAAUAUUCCAAAGUAGCCUCCUGGCACAGUGCUGUGGAUACUGAGAAUCUAGGAAAUGUGGGUGUGAAGACAGCAGAUGAACCAGAACUGCCUGAUGUCCUUAGUAGAUAAAUAGGUGUAGCAGACAGAAAAAAAUCAUUUUGCCAGAGAGGAGAAAAACAAGUGUUGUUUCAUCUUCAGCAUUACACAGAGGAAUUUCUGGGGGAAAAUGUGAAGAUUUUGUGACUGUUGAGUAGCAAAGAGUAUGAGCCAUUUGUAAAUAUUAAGAAAAAUAAAACAUGUAUUUGUGCCUAAACGUAGCUAGCAAGAAAGUUAAUAAUCACCCACAUAUCUCCCCUUAGUUACCUAAUUAAUCUAAUUGCCUCCUACCAUUUUUUGACCUUUCUCUUCCCACAUAUCCCCAUUUAUUAUUUAUUACCUAAAUGGAGCAACACGGUCACCCCAAACAAAAAGCCUGCAGACAACCGAGAGAAGCCACAUGUUUGAGAAACACUCUCAUCACAUUUUCUUUGAAUCUGCAUUAUUAACAUACCUCCUUUUUUUAGAAUCUCAAACCCUGGGAGGCAAAUGUCAGAUGCAAGUGGAAGGCCAGUGACCUCAUGCUUUUCUGCAAAUACUGCUGGUUCUCCAGGGGCAGGAGGCCGACUCCAGAGGCCUCUUGCUUUUUGAUAAUCCCUCCG
ensembl:lncRNA